rfam:Triticum aestivum genome assembly, contig: Triticum_aestivum_CS42_TGACv1_scaffold_501694_6BL
CUUGUACUUCCUCCGUCUGGAAAAUACUUGUCAUCAAAAUGAAUAAAAGGGGAUGUAUCUAGACGUAUAUUAGUUCUAGAUACAUCUCUUUUUAUCCAUUUUGAUGACAAGUAUUUUCGGAGAGAGGAAGUACUCC